rnacentral:misc_RNA from 1 species
GCCGCCAGACCAAUUCAGUCUCGGAAGUAAAGGCGCUGAAAGCGGACGCACGUUGCUCGUUUUUCGUCGAGACAUCGCUCGCUAGUUCGCGUGUGAGAAUAGCAUUAUUUUUGUCGUUUUGUUGUGAUUCUUCUGGUUGGGUGAGAAGAGACGACGUCAUCGAGACAGGGAAGACGACGUCAACGACGCCGGCUAGUGGCCAAUCGUAGCCUGAGCUGCUAAGUGAUCGAACUCGACGGAAUCGAUCGAUGCGUCGCUGCUAAACAAGGCUGCAAACAAAGUUCGUGCUGUGUGCAGUGGCGGGAAUUGUAAUCCAUCAUGAUGAGGUCGUCGUUACCUUGGAGCAGGUGGCCUGGUCACGUUGUGGCUACAGCAGUGCUUUGCUGUUGCAUCUGCGUACUGCUUCCCCUUGUCCAGGGACUAGACGGACAGGAAAUUGAUCUCGAAUUUGCCAAUCACGGCCGAGACACUGCCGUUGCCACUGCUGAUAAAGUUGUUUCGGAUUCGAAACCCGCCGAUGUGGCCACACGGCGAAAGCCGACGGAAUCGUGGAUGGUGCAGCGGAGAGACAAACCAAAUAAAUCAUCCUUAAAAAAGUUCGUGGAAACAGAUUGGGUCGAAGAUUCGCAACAGUACGGAAAAUCGAAGAAAUCAAUCUACGAUAAGAAAUAUUUCGAUUAUCUGCCUGCGGAGCUAAAAGACUCUCCCGAGACUUCCGCCGACGUGCCUUUAUCGAAACGAACCAAUAGCAGGAGAAUUCGACGCGGUGCCGACGCCACCGACGACGGAGAUGAAUCGCGACGCUCCAAAAGGCACGGCUGGUACGUUCAACCAGUGGCGUCCUACUCGUACACGGUGCCCCAGAUGGUAUAUUCCGUCGGUAACUGGCCGCCAGUGGUGUCUCAGCAGUACCCAACGGUCUACCAGCAGCAGCCGAGUUUGCCGUUUGGACCAACGUACGGGAACAGAGGUCACUUUACUACACCGGCUACCGUAGAUCGGACAUAUCUUCCUCCAACCACCACCAGAAGACCCAACUCUACGCCACCGGAUCGGACCUAUCUGCCCGUUCCGAGUCCGUCUCCAAACAGUGAAGGUCCAGUUGAUGGUGGCCUUGGUAAUCGCUUCAACUUCGAGAACAAUCCAGACCGGUUCGUUUUCGAUGUCGUGUAUGACAAUAACAGAGUUAACUAUAAUUUGAUGCCACGACCUCAGCAAGGACGAAUUCCCCCGACAACUAGGCGUCCACAGGCAUCGUUUCGGCCGGAAACUGCCACGGUUGGAGUUCCCGGACGAACCACGACCACUCCGCGGCCGUCGAUUCAGCACAACAGCGAUGACGAUUACGAUUGGUCCAGUCUCGGCCUUGACUCAGACAUUGGAAAUAGACUAGGUAAAUGGCAAUAUCUUGCACUUGCUUCUUGUUGACGCAUGGCAUGUAUUAUUUUUGGAUAAGCUGCACCGUAUUCGAUAAAUAGGCACGCAGAAUAGUUCGUACAACGGUACACGACCAGCCUGUAGAAUGUGGAGAACCUAUUCAUUUGCGCCGGUGGAGAUGACUCGAACAAUGACGUUUCUGGCUCUGGCACCGGAAAUCAGGGCCGGAAGAAACCCUCCAAGUGCACGUGGGCCAUU